GGAUGUAGCUCAGCUGGUAGAAUGCUUGCCUUGCAUGCACGAGGCCCUGGGUUCAAUCCCCAGCACCA
rnacentral:tRNA from 1 species